rnacentral:rRNA from 1 species
GUGGGGAAUCUUCCGCAAUGGACGAAAGUCUGACGGAGCGACGCCGCGUGAGUGAAGAAGACCUUCGGGUCGUAAAGCUCUGUCAUCAGGGACGAACGGCCGGUGGAGUGGAAAGCCACCGGAUUGACGGUACCUGAGAAGGAAGCCACGGCUAACUACGUGCCAGCAGCCGCGGUAAUACGUAGGUGGCAAGCGUUGUCCGGAAUUAUUGGGCGUAAAGCGCGCGCAGGUGGGAUCUUAAGUCCAUUUUUAAAGUUCGGAGCUCAACUCCGUGAUGGGAUGGAAACUGGGAUUCUUGAGUACCGGAGAGGAAAGCGGAAUUCCCCGUGUAGCGGUGAAAUGCGUAGAUAUGGGGAGGAACACCAGUGGCGAAGGCGGCUUUCUGGACGGUGUCUGACACUGAGGCGCGAAAGCCAGGGGAGCGAACGGGAUUAGAAACUCCUGUAGUCC